rnacentral:lncRNA from 1 species
CAAAGACCACAGAGGAGUAGGAAGAGGGCUGCCCUCGUACUCCCCAAGCCACCCCCGCCUCUGAGCGCGGAGGCACGAUGUUCUGGGGCUCGAGCCUUCGCAUCCACCGGGCCAGCGCUAACCACCGGCCGCCGCCCUGGAGGGGACCCGGCGGCCCCGCCACGUGCGGCUGCGAGUUUCAGACCCGCUUCCGGGGGGCGGCGGCCGUCGGAGGCCUGGGUUGGGGGGUCGUGAGCCGGAUGUUCCCCGCAGCUGGCCAGAAAGCUGCCUCUGAGCCUCUUGAGCAACUCCCUGCCUCCUCCGAACACUAUGCGUUUGUUACAACGAUUAAAUGAAGAACACAGAAGUCUCUGGCUCUGCCGGGCAGAACGCCUCUUAAGAGUAUCGCAGCUAAAAAGUGGGUUGGCUGUAAGCUGAUAAUCAGGUAGCUGUGGUCAGACACCCACUCCAGAACCUCUGCUACUCAGAGACCAUGUUAUCACACGCGACGUCCAUUAGGCCCCAGUAAUCCGCUAUCAACGCAUUUUAGAGCCAUUUGAAUGUUAAGGAGAUUUUUAUUAAUGGUCCAUGAUCCUAAAAUGUGACUAUUGGUUCUAGGAACAGAUUUUAACAACUCAAGGCUGUGAUGAGUGAUUUUCUGAUUUCUGUGCAGCCUAAGGCCUCAGGAGAUUUCAUCUGGGAGAUUGGGGGCAAGACCUAAGCCCUCACCCCACCAAGGACCUGUCUCUAAAGGGUACUUUCCAGCUUUUACCUGGGGAAACUGAGAUAGAGGGGGAGCAGGCCUGUGGCUCCUAAAGGCAGCAUUUGAAGGUCCUUUAAUGGGGAGACCAGGGGGACAAAAAAAGCAAUCAACAAUUGUAUGGCUACUAGAAACUGGCAUCUUAUUUUUAAAGAAGCCCUCAGCUGGAAAUGUCACCUAGUGAUGUCAAGUAGACUAAGAAAUUCUUAAUCAAAAGGCCCCCUUUGCACACCUGCAGUAGGCAAACUGAGGCAGGAGCAGUAGAGGUAGCAGGUAGCAGAGGAUUCUGAUUCUUGAAUACCUUUUUUUCCUUGUGGUGCUGAAACAGAAGUCAAUCCAAACUUUGCCCACUUACCAUUAUAUUUUCAGUGGGAUUCUUUUUUGUUUUCUUUGUUGUUGCUGUUGUUUUUUCUUUCAAAAUACCGUGUUUCCACUAAGAAUUAAAAGAAAAGGGGUGGGGAGAUUAAGGAAUAAAAGUGAGUCAUAGACCUCAUGCUGUUUGACUUUCCCUCUAGGAGAAAAACAAAAUUUGAAGCGACCCUCCCCCUAGUGAUAGCCUGGCUUCCCUGGCACCUGCAGUUAUCUUUGACCAAAUGGGUUGGACUUGGUAGGGAUCCUUUAUUUGAAUUUGCUUACUGUUUGUUUGCAGUUGACAGCAG